AAUAAAAACUUGGAAUUUCACCCAAGUCUCUGGCCGGUACAGAUCAAUAAUCAAAGCAAGACAGAGAUGCUUGGGGAGAAAUAUAAUUAAACAACAAAAAAAAGUAGCAAACCAAAGUCUUUCUUUUAUCCCCAAUACAUAGCGAAGCAAAUAGAACAUGAUAGGUGUAAGUGAUGCAUGCCUAGCAGCAUUACCAACAUUUCCAUACAGGCCCCUAGCUAAUUCAAGACCAGACUAGCAAGACUCACCUUAACAAGGUAGCUACCUUGUAUGCAUCUCUUACAUCCCAUGUCUAAUAUAACAUGAAGUAACAAGAAAAAGGAAAAGAAACAAAAAAGAACAACCAGAGGCGAAGACGUAAUAAACACAGAGAGCAUAAGGUAAAACAAGGAAUAUGAUGAAAAAUAAAAGACCUAAAGUUAAGGUAAAUCGGACCGCUACCCUCAAUUCCCCGCGAUGCAAUCAUGCACUCUCCCAAUUCUGCCCUUUACUAGGCUAGAAACUCAGGAGAGUGCAAUUGCAAAGCCUUGUUUGUGUGUUCUUUUGCCAUAUGUUUCACCCAUAUUUACCAAAGAACUCUUCUACUCCUUGAUGCCACCACGACCACCCACCACUUCCUUUGUAGCCACCACCAUAGUUGGCGGACUCCCUCCGGUUACCACCGAUCAUGAUUGACAUUACCAAGUAGCUAGAAUGAAUGAAUAUCCAAGCUUAAAUGUGGGCAAAAGCUUAGUGCUAGCUAGCUACUUGCAAAAGAAAGUCUAGAACGAGUGUGGAUAAAGGGCAUGAGUGACAUGAUGGGUCAUAUAUAAAGGCGAGAUUGUAGCUUUUGGUCUAAUGUGAGUGGCGCUUUUUAAUUUUGUUUCCUGAUAGAAUGUGAUUUUAUUUUGCUUGUUUCUUUCCCUUUCUUC
rnacentral:lncRNA from 1 species